GAUGCAGCCGCCUAAUCUACACUGGAAAUACAACUGGACUAACACCUGAGUAAAAGACUAGGAUAUUCCUGACCAAAUUCUUGCUCUAGUCUGGCCACCUUGCCUUCCUGCACCCUUUCCUUAGCUCUCUCGAUCCAACCGCAACCCUUGUCCCUCGGCAGAUGUUCUUCCACCUUGCUACCAAGCUGCAGAUGCUUUAAAGGCCUUGCAUGGUGAGCUGUGAAUUAAGACUGGGAGGUGUAUAUGGUCCAAUGUGUUUUGAGGCUUGUUGUAGCUGCAUGUGUUCAGGUAUGUACACAAACUGUUAUGAAUUCGGUAUUUGAGUUGUAAUAUUAAUUUAUUCUAGGCAAUUUACUAAUGAUAGCUGGCCCUGGAAGGAACAUGCACAAGUCUGCAUGUAUUUUACCUACAUGUACCUUAGAAAAGUAUGUGUAACAGUAAGCGAAAAAUAUAAACCAUUUUAGAAAUAUAUUCAUAUUUACAGGUAUGUACAAUUACAGUAAUGAAUCUUUUAAAAUGUA